CAGCUCCAACUAUGCAGUAAAGAACUAUUUUUGCCACAUUUUCGAUUCCAUCACAGCAGUAUGCUGUAGUUAAGUAAUCAUGACGCUUUUUACCUGUGGAUGUGAUAACGUUAACAGUACUUCUUCAGAGCCUUGACGUGAGUAAUGGGCAUCGUUUGCUGAAUGGAUAUUGCGGCCGCACUUUGUCCCUGUCUUCGUGCUACGAGAGCGAUUCCGUCUCGAUCGACGACAGUCGUCACUUGUCCUUCUUCAACCUGUCCGCGUUUCAGCGUUGCGCCGUUACCGUGGAGCUGAACGCCUGUGAUGACGCGCCAAGGGCUUUGUAUUUCAAUAUCCAGGAAGCAGAUUUAGCGCCCAGCGCUUUCGUUACCAUCUGGCAACUGGAUUCACUGUCCAAUGCUAGUGUUCCCUGGAAACAGAUCUCCGGCCGCCGCAACGACGGGAACAUUAAUCCGCGCUCCGUCGGCCAGUUCAUGACAACCGCGGUCAGGCGCCCAAGGGUACGGCUGGUGUAUCAAACCGCGGAGGACUACCAAAAGAAUCAAACGGGACACCCAGCAGCGACGGGCAUACGCUGGUAUUCUGUUCGGCACUGAACGGAUACGUCAAUCGGGAUUUAUUGUGCGGUCAGACGCAGAUCGUCGUCUGUCCCAGCCGGUUUGUUGCUAACGUCAACGAGCCGAAC